AACGAACGCUGGCGGCAUGCCUAACACAUGCAAGUCGAACGAGACCUUCGGGUCUAGUGGCGCACGGGUGCGUAACGCGUGGGAACCUGCCCUUAGGUUCGGAAUAACUCCCCGAAAGGGGUGCUAAUACCGGAUAAUGUCUUCGGACCAAAGAUUUAUCGCCUUUGGAUGGGCCCGCGUUGGAUUAGCUAGUUGGUAGGGUAAAAGCCUACCAAGGCGACGAUCCAUAGCUGGUCUCAGAGGAUGAUCAGCCACACUGGGACUGAGACACGGCCCAGACUCCUACGGGAGGCAGCAGUGGGGAAUAUUGGACAAUGGGCGGAAGCCUGAUCCAGCAAUGCCGCGUGAGUGAUGAAGGCCUUAGGGUUGUAAAGCUCUUUUACCCGGGAUGAUAAUGACAGUACCGGGAGAAUAAGCUCCGGCUAACUCCGUG
rnacentral:rRNA from 1 species